GUCUAUAGCUAUACUACACUGAAUGCACCUGAUCUCAUCGGAUAUUGGAAACUCAGCAGGGCCAGGCGUGCUUAGUAGCUGGAGAGGAGACUGCUAAGGAAUACUGGGUGCUAUUUACU
ensembl:rRNA 5S_rRNA 5S ribosomal RNA